rnacentral:rRNA from 1 species
UUGACCUCAAAUCAGGUAGGACUACCCGCUGAACUUAAGCAUAUCAAUAAGCGGAGGAAAAGAAACUAACAAGGAUUCCCCUAGUAACUGCGAGUGAAGCGGGAAAGCUCAAAUUUAAAUCUGGCGGUCUUGCGGCCGUCCGAGUUGUAAUCUGGAGAAGCGUUUAUCCGCGUCGGACCGUGUACAAGUCUCUGGAAGGGAGGUCGUAGAGGGUGAGAAUCCCGUCUUUGACACGGACAA